UGUUAUAUUUGUUUUCUCUACAGGUUCUAAUCUACAGUAACUUUUGGAAAAAAGCAUCAUUCCAUCAUUCCAGGCUUUCAGUUUCACCUGUGCGGUACGGUGUCAGCUGCAGUUCCUUAAAGAGGUACGGGUAUAGUCCUCAUUUCUCCAAUGCUGGUACGUGACUGGUGAGACUAUGGCAGUGAAGCCCAGGUAAUUAAAUACAGGAAGGAGGGCAUUAAAAAAACAGUUUUAUUUACAAAUUUGCACAGAACACAAAUGACGACAUUUACAACCAUAGGGUGCCUUACCUCAGAAACUCC
rnacentral:lncRNA from 1 species